rnacentral:lncRNA from 1 species
GACUGGCUCUGCAAAAUUGGGUCGGGUUUGGGCAAAAAUUUAAGCCCGAUGGUCGGGCUGGGGUGGGACUAGGAAUAGCCAUCAGGCCCAACUUCCACUACAGAAUCCGGCCUGAGCCCGGCCCAGCCUGGGGUUUGAUCGACUGUAAAACUUGAGUAAGGCUUGGAGCUUUCCAAUAUGACAUUUAUGAACAGACUGUCUUUAGAUACAAUAACCAUGUAUUUGCUAAAACUUGAAAGGAAAUUGAUCUGGUUGUGAUAGAGAAUGCAGGAACAGAUUUUCAUAAAUACAUAUAAAUCUUGUAUACGGAGAUGGUCAGUGGGUUUAAGGUAGAAGAUCCUCUACUUCAGGUAUAGGUUUUUCAGGGACUACCUUUGGCUCUUGGAUAUUCCUGGUAUUGGUAAAUGAUUUGUUUGAAGUUUGGUAGGGCUUUUUUUUGUGAAGUACUAUGCAAUGAUUUUUUUGUGAAGUUCAUAGGGCUAUGAUUUUUUUUUCCUUCUCUUGUGAAGUACCAUGGCAAUCGCUAAACGUUAACUGCAAGGUAUAUCAUUACAUGUAAUCUUGAUUUUUAACUGCUCGAAAAUGCAAUGUCUUAGCUUUCUAGGGCUCUCGGUAGC